UUACCGGUAUCGGACACUGAGCGAUACGGAAAUCCCGAUAUCGCAAAACGAUUUUUGUGCCGAUAAUACCGUCCGAUACGGUAAAUACAGUACACCGAUAAUAUCGUAUUAUCGGCGAUAUUUGUCAUUUGCUGUAAUUUCUGAGGGCAUUUUCGGGAUUAUAAGAGAAGGGAAGAGAUUUAAUCCCUAAAUCCCAUCGAUACGCAAAGGGUAGAGAGUUGAUUUUACAAAUUUCGUUGCAGGUUCUUCUUCUCUAUUUUAAUGGCGAGAUUCAGUUGAUUCUAUCUUAACAAGAGGUCCAAGGGAAGAUACAUCUUAUAUGCAUAUCCAGCAAAGGCAAAGUCGCUGAAGAAACAUCAAAACAGUUCAUCUAGCAACUGGGUUGUGAUUAUGGAUUCUUCUAAUGCAUCAAAUUCAAAUACGGCAAACACUACCUGUGAUUUAUUGCCCUCUUCUUCGGCUACUCAAACUAAAGAUCCAGCAUGGGAAUGGGGUGAACGCCAAGACCUAGCAAAUCAAAAUAUAAUUACUUGUUUGUUAUGUAAGAAAUUAAUUCGUGGUGGUGGAAUUACUAGGCUUAAGGAGCAUCUUUUACAUAUUAAAGGGAAUGUUUCUUCAUGUCCAAAUGUGUCCAUUGAUAUUAUGAACAAAGUUGGUCUGGUGAAUUCUGUAAAGAGGACCAAAAAAGCUCAUAAGGAUAACAUUGAUUUAGCGUAUCGGCGUGCAAACAACUCAGA